ACCUUACCUACUCUUGACAUCCAGAGAACUUUCCAGAGAUGGUUUGGUGCCUUCGGGAACUCUGAGACAGGUGCUGCAUGGCUGUCGUCAGCUCGUGUUGUGAAAUGUUGGGUUAAGUCCCGCAACGAGCGCAACCCUUAUCCUUUGUUGCCAGCGGUUAGGCCGGGAACUCAAAGGAGACUGCCAGUGAUAAACUGGAGGAAGGUGGGGAUGACGUCAAGUCAUCAUGGCCCUUACGAGUAGGGCUACACACGUGCUACAAUGGCGCAUACAAAGAGAAGCGACCUCGCGAGAGCAAGCGGACCUCAUAAAGUGCGUCGUAGUCCGGAUUGGAGUCUGCAACUCGACUCCAUGAAGUCGGAAUCGCUAGUAAUCG
rnacentral:rRNA from 1 species